UUAUUGCCGGUGAGCAAAAAAGCCCGUUUUGGACGGAAAGAUCCGUUCAUAAUUCAUAUAGAUCCAGCCCAGAAACAAUCCUUCGGCAAUUCCCUCCUCGGUCCUCGCACUGGAUUGUGAAUUGUCUGCGAGAAGGGACAGUCUUUCACGCACAAUCUUCGCACAGCACAAGGCAUGGCGGCUACCUGUGCUAGAAAAUCCCUCCAAAUCGCUUCGGCUUCUGCGAGAACCCAUCUUUCCCGUCGUUCUUUAUCUGCUCUUACUUCGGAUGCCUCUAAACUUAGCGGGUUUGGUUCAUGCAGACCCGCUUGUGCUUCUCGAGUUGCAGUGCAGAAGCGCUCGCUCUCGUUUUCAUGGCUUCCAAAGCAGUUGGCUGGCGCACAGGUGUCUUUGAUACCAUUGCAUAGUGCUACUUCCUCUGCCUUGUUCACUUCUCUGCUAUCUCUGCACAGUAACAAGUGGGGUUGUCUAUCUGAAGACAUCUCAUGAAGACUAUCUUCAUGGUGGCAUCAGUCACAUCUAUGGAGGAGACUUCUAUGAAUAGAUUGGCUGAAUAUACUCUUGGGUUGCUGGAAGAAGUUUUGCAACACCUCUAUAACACGACAUUUAUCAAUGAUAUCUUGCUUGUAUGCCACCCGGAUACCAUUAAGUGCAACUUUUGCUUUCAACCCUUGUUUCUACUUCGUACCGCACUCAAUAAUGUAACUUGAUUAGUUCUUCCUUGGAGACUCAGGUUUUCAAAUUGUGCUCCGGUCACAUUUUGAAGAUAUUUUUGCUGCUUGAGAUUUUUGAAAGAUCGGCCUUUUCAUUUCAGUUAACACUUAAAUGUGGGAGAGAAUUUUUUUCCUGUACAACUGUGACGUUUUUCAAGAGUGACAUCUUCCACUGGCACAAUUAGGGACUCAGAUGCACAUGCACUGCUUGAAUUCAGGAUUAGAAAGAUUCUAAUUAAAAUGAAAUUAAAGCUCCGCCUUUGCAUUCCUGUAUUUUUAUUGUUUUGGUUCAGUCAGAUCACUGUUCCAAUUAUCUAGGGAGGCCUGUUAUGCAUCGGUCUCACUCUUAACUUUUCCGGGAAUAACGGACAAAAGAAUCACUGUUUCAAACUCUUACAAAUUUGUCACGACGCUGAAGAAGUCUGGAGGAAAGCAUAAAAGCUACAGAUGAAAGGGAAUUAUAGAAAACGAUACUGCCGCUAUAUCAGUGAUGUGAUGUGGUAUGGAUCAUGAUUAUCGGCAUGUUAUCGAGUAUUGUAUGAACCUUAAGCUAAAAGUCAUUGUAAGGACUUGAUCAAAUGAAGUGGAGACAAACAUUAGCUUCUGUA